rnacentral:rRNA from 1 species
AACGAACGCUGGCGGCAUGCCUAACACAUGCAAGUCGAACGAGACCUUCGGGUCUAGUGGCGCACGGGUGCGUAACGCGUGGGAACCUGCCCUUAGGUUCGGAAUAACUCCCCGAAAGGGGUGCUAAUACCGGAUAAUGUCUUCGGACCAAAGAUUUAUCGCCUUUGGAUGGGCCCGCGUUGGAUUAGCUAGUUGGUAGGGUAAAAGCCUACCAAGGCGACGAUCCAUAGCUGGUCUGAGAGGAUGAUCAGCCACACUGGGACUGAGACACGGCCCAGACUCCUACGGGAGGCAGGAGUGGGGAAUAGUGGAAAAGGGGCGAAAGCCUGAUCCAGCAAUGCCGGGUGAGGGAUGAAGGCCUUAGGGUUGAAAAGCUCUUUUACCCGGGAUGAUAAUGACAGUACCGGGAGAAUAAGCCCCGGCUAACUCCGU